ensembl:lncRNA
GUUAGGCCAGAUGGGCACUGAGCAGGGGAGAGGGGCUGCUAGGCUGCUACACUGGGUUUCUUCCUUCAUUUGGAUUUCAACUUUUACCAAGAUGGCAUGUUUCCCUAACCUGGUCUACAAGCAGUGGUGGGAUGGAAGAGUAGCCGUGCUUCUCGUACUGAACAACUUCCUUACUGGAUUUCAUUGGAAGUACUACUGUAUUUUAAGCUUCCUUGCAUUGGUUCGGGUUUUCUUUAGCACCUCUAUCCAGGUAUGAGAUCAGUGGUUUUGCUCUGCCACCUAUUCCUACCAUGAGGGCUCAACACAGGCCUAAAACAACAUGGAUCAAUUGACAAGAGACUAAAGCCUCCUAACUUUGAGUCAAAAGCAACCCUCUUGUCUUGAUAAGGUUUUGAUCUCAAUAGAAAUCCCUAGUAAACUUCCUGCAUGCUAAUUUCUAUCUCAGUGUUUUCCUCCUCCAAGAACCCAGCUUAUGAUGGAAGACUUUCCCUGUCAGAUCUCAAGACCUAUUAUAAUGCUUUAGUAUUGAAGAUGGUGUGGAAUGGACAUUGGGAUAAAUGAAUAGAUAUGUGAAAUGUAAAAAAAAGAAUAGAAACAGAACUUGGUAUGUGAGAGGUGACAUUAUAUUAAACUGGAAAAAAUGGGCUAUGUAGUAUCAGUUACUGGAACAAUUGUCUAUUCAUAUGGAAAAGAAAUUGUCUAUUUUCAAAAAUUUCCAAAGGAAAAAUAUCUAAAUGUAAAAAGUGAUAAAUUAUUAAUAAAAUAUAGAAGGAAAAUAUUCUUUUAAAAGAUUCAAAGGUUAAUACCAUAAAGAAAAUUUUGAUAAACUCAAUUACAUUCUGUAUGUUAACAGGUAAAACUGAAACUUAAAGAUAUACAACCAACAGAGAAGUAGAACUCAGAAUAUACAAAUAACAUUCACAAAUUAGUAACAGAGGGGCAAACAAUAGAUAGAAAACUGGCAAAAUGUAUGAAUUGAAAAUUUGCAGAGGCAAAAACACGAAUGACCAAAAACCUUGAGAAUAUGGCCAAACCCACUAAUAAUUAAUGAAAUAUGAAUAAGAAGAUAAUUUCUCCUCCAUGAGGAAAGAAAAGACUAAAGAACAUGAAUAUACCACAUAUAGGGAAAUACUGAGAAAACAACCUCCUUGGAGAGGAAUUUGGCAAUAUUUUGUAAGUUUCACUGUAUAUAUAUAUAUAUAUAUGUAUAUAUAUAUAUAUAAUUAAGAAACACACAGAAAUGUACACACGGUGACAUGCAAACAGAUGUUUGGUGCCACCUUGUUUGUAAUAGCAAGUAUUUGAAAACAGCAUAUGUCCAUCAAUACUGGAUGGAUAAAUAAUCAUAAUAUCACAUGUGAUGGUGCAGUAAUUGUGGUGAAUUAAACAUAUUUACAUGUCUCAACAAAAAUCUUAAAUAGUGUGGAAUAAAACUUUGUGUGUGGUAAGAUACCUUUUUAAAAACAAAUUUAAAUUCAUAAAGCACACAGUUUAUGAAAAAUAUAUGAAUGGUAAAUAUUUUUAAAUGUAGUACAGAAAGGGAGCAUAACAGUUCCACAAGGGUGACUGUCUUUGGGGAGAGAGGGGAACAAGUUAAGGUUUGCAAUGUAAAUUUAUGUUCUAUUUCAUUCUUUUAUGAAAAUAAUCUGAAUAUGGCAAGAUGUUAAUAUUUGUUGAUGCUGGUUGGUGAAUAUGAUUGCGGUGUUAGAUAGUCUAUGUAUUUUUCCACAUUUGAAAUAUUUUAUUGUAUAGAGUUUUUAAAAAAAUUAUAAAACAGUGGCAUAUAGUAAAUGUCAGAAGUGACCAGGUGCCUGGGACAAGUUUUGUAAACAUUUUGCCAGAAUUGAGAAAGGGACAUGUAUUCUGCCUAAGCCUUCUAUGAAUAUUUCUCUUACCUUCUCAACCCACACCAGAAAACUUAAGAACCCAUCUUCUCAUCCUGGCACUGCUGCAUACAUUUAUUUCCAUUGCAGCAAUGCUGUUUAGUACUGUAAAAAUUUGUGGCAUAGUCAGUCUCUCAUUUCAAGAAGCUCUGAACUCCUUAAAUCUAGUAAUCAUAUCUUUUUACCUUAGAAUCUUUAAAUUUUUGCAUACUUUCCAGAACUCAGUAGAUAUUCAAAUAAAUGUUUUUUGAAUAUAUGACUUUAAUAAAUUAGAUAUCUACAAUAUAUUUCAGAUCCGUGAAAGUCUAACAGCACAUACUAGUCAUGCCUUCCUUUCCAAUUAACUAUUGGAGAUGGCACAGUUGGUUCAAGUUUAAUAUGCCUCCAGUAAGCAGAGCCCAGGAGAGCAACAAAAUGUUAAAAUGCUUUAUCCUGCAAGGUCAGGUCAAUUUUCUCUGUUUCAUGUGUUUUCCUUAACAGUCAGAUAUAAUAGCAGACGAUUUGUACCAAGGAUUCAGAAGAUUUGAACUCAGAAAGGAACUACUAUAGCUACUUAAGCUUUAGGCAUAUACAUUUUCUGUGAGUCUCAUUUCCUCUCAGAAAAAAUGCUGGGAUAGAUACUUUGGUUUGUUCUCCUCCUUCCAGUCUCUGAUUCUUCCUCAAAACUUGAAUGCCCAUUAUUACUUGGCUCAGACAUUUGUACUUAGAUUAUCCCAUUUUUUAUCAUUAUUAUCCUUUUAUAUUUGGGCUCAGUGUUUAUAUACAUAGAAACAGACACACCAGACACACACACAUACAUGCACACAGAGUUGAUCUUCUAUACCCAUGGGUUCUCCCCCAGAUUCAAUCAGCCAUGAAUCAAAAAUUACAGAAAAACAUUGUAUCUAUUAUGAACAGAUAGAGACUUCUUUUCUUGUUGUUACUCCUUAAACAAUAAGUAACUGUUUGCAUAGCAUCUACAUUGUAUUAAGGAUAAGUAAACUAGAGAUUAUUUAAAGUGUAAGUUAGCAUGUGCAUUGGUUCUAUGCAAAUAGUGUACCUUUUUAGAUAAGAAAUUUGGCCACCAGCAGGAUUUUGGUAUCUCUAGAGAGUGCAGGAACCAAUGCUCCACAGAUACCAAGGGAUGACUGUAUUAUAUCUUAAAGGCAAGUUCUAAUUUUAUUAUAUAUGUAAAUAUAGCAAGAACUCCUCCCCCUUUUUUGCUUUUACUGAUACUUAUGUGACUAAAUUAAAACAGG